rnacentral:rRNA from 1 species
CCUACGGGGGGCAGCAGUAAGGAAUAUUGGUCAAUGGGCGGAAGCCUGAACCAGCCAUGCCGCGUGCAGGAAGACGGCCUACGGGUUGUAAACUGCUUUUGCAGGGGAAUAUGUACUCUGAGAAUAAGGAUCGGCUAACUCCGUGCCAGCAGCCGCGGUAAUACGGAGGAUCCGAGCGUUAUCCGGAUUUAUUGGGUUUAAAGGGUGCGUAGGCGGCCUUGUAAGUCAGGGGUGAAAGACGGUAGCUUAACUAUCGCAGUGCCUUUGAUACUGCAGGGCUUGAAUGUACAUGAGGUAGGCGGAAUGUGACAAGUAGCGGUGAAAUGCAUAGAUAUGUCACAGAACACCAAUUGCGAAGGCAGCUUACUAAGUUGAUUGACGCUGAGGCACGAAAGCGUGGGGAUCAAACAGGAUUAGAUACCCUUGUAGUC